AGAGUUUGAUCCUGGCUCAGGAUAAACGCUGGCGGCGUGCCUAACACAUGCAAGUCGAACGCUCUCUUGCCGCAAGGUGAGAGGGAGUGGCGGACGGGUGAGUAACACGUGGGAAUCGACCCAUUCGUGAGGAAUACCACCGAGAAAUCGGUGACAAUACCGCAUACGCUUUCUUCGGGAAGCAAAGCUCUUCGCAAGAGGGGCGCGAGUGGACGAGCCUGUGCCUGAUUAGCUAGUUGGUGGGGUAAGAGCCUACCAAGGCUGCGAUCAGUCGCUGGUCUGAGAGGAUGAUCAGCCACACUGGGAUUGAGAACGGCCCAGACUCCUACGGGGGGCAGCAGUGAGGAAUAUUCGGCAAUGGGGGCAACCCUGACCGAGCAACGCCGCGUCCAGGAAGACGGCCUUCGGGUUGUAAACUGCUUUUCUGGGGGAAGAGAACGGACGGUACCCCAGGAAGAAGCUCCGGCUAACUACGUGCCAGCAGCCGCGGUAAUACGUAGGGAGCGAGCGUUGUCCGGAGUUACUGGGCGUAAAGCGCACGCAGGCGGUCUGUCGCGUUCGUGCCGACAGCGACUCGCCUAACGAGUCGAGGAGUACGGCAACGGGCAGACUUGAGGGCCAGAGAGGGACACGGAACUCCGGGUGGAGUGGUGAAAUGCGUAGAGAUCCGGAAGAACACCAAAGGCGAAGGCAGUGUCCUGGUUGGUACCUGACGCUCAGAGGCGACAGCUAGGGGAGCGAACGGGAUUAGAUACCCCGGUAGUCC
rnacentral:rRNA from 1 species